rnacentral:rRNA from 1 species
UACGGAGGGAGCUAGCGUUGUUCGGAAUUACUGGGCGUAAAGCGCACGUAGGCGGCUUUGUAAGUUAGAGGUGAAAGCCCGGAGCUCAACUCCGGAACUGCCUUUAAGACUGCAUCGCUUGAAUCCAGGAGAGGUGAGUGGAAUUCCGAGUGUAGAGGUGAAAUUCGUAGAUAUUCGGAAGAACACCAGUGGCGAAGGCGGCUCACU